rnacentral:rRNA from 1 species
AGCUCCAAUAGCGUAUACUAAAGUUGUUGCAGUUAAAAAGCUCGUAGUUGAAUUUCUGGUCUCGGACAGCGGUCUGCCUCAAACGAGGUACGCACCACCUGUUCAGGUCCAUCCUCGGAGAAAACAUGCCUGUGAUUCAGUUCAUGGGUAUGGGAUCUUCGUCAUUUACUGUGAGCAAAAUAGAGUGUUCAAAGCAGGCUUAUGCCGUUGAAUACAUUAGCAUGGAAUAAUAAAAUAAGACCUUGGUCUAUUUUGUUGGUUUGUACUCCAAGGUAAUGAUUAAUAGGGAUAGUUGGGGGUAUUCGUAUUCAAUUGUCAGAGGUGAAAUUCUUGGAUUUAUGGAAGACGAACUACUGCGAAAGCAUUUACCAAGGAUGUUUUCAUUAAUCAAGAACGAAAG